rnacentral:rRNA from 1 species
AGUGAACGCUGGCGGUAGGCCUAACACAUGCAAGUCGAACGGCAGCACAGAGGAGCUUGCUCCUUGGGUGGCGAGUGGCGGACGGGUGAGGAAUACAUCGGAAUCUACUUUUUCGUGGGGGAUAACGUAGGGAAACUUACGCUAAUACCGCAUACGACCUACGAGUGAAAGCAGGGGAUCUUCGGACCUUGCGCGAUUGAAUGAGCCGAUGUCGGAUUAGCUAGUUGGCGGGGUAAAGGCCCACCAAGGCGACGAUCCGUAGCUGGUCUGAGAGGAUGAUCAGCCACACUGGAACUGAGACACGGUCCAGACUCCUACGGGAGGCAGCAGUGGGGAAUAUUGGACAAUGGGCGCAAGCCUGAUCCAGCCAUACCGCGUGGGUGAAGAAGGCCUUCGGGUUGUAAAGCCCUUUUGUUGGGAAAGAAAUCCAGCCGGCUAAUACCUGGUUGGGAUGACGGUACCCAAAGAAUAAGCACCGGCUAACUUCGUGCCAGCAGCCGCCGUAA